rnacentral:rRNA from 1 species
AGUAACACGUAAACAACCUGCCUUAAGGAUGGGGAUAACAGACGGAAACGACUGCUAAUACCGAAUAAGUUCCAAGGGCCGCAUGGCCCAUGGAAGAAAAGGUGGCCUCUACCUGUAAGCUAUCGCCUGAAGAAGGGUUUGCGUCUGAUUAGCUGGUUGGAGGGGUAACGGCCCACCAAGGCGACGAUCAGUAGCCGGUCUGAGAGGAUGAACGGCCACACUGGAACUGAGACACGGUCCAG